CAUAUGGAAACAUCAUAAUGUUUGAGGAAAAAAAUCUACGCCUAUAUAUAAUAUAGAAAUACCACUUGCACAUAGGUCUUCCAGGAGAGACUAUAAUUCCAAUGUGGGAUUUACAACACAUACUGAGUCUUCGAAACUGAGGAACACAGUAAAACCCAUCUUUAAGAAUCAAAUCAGUUUUGAAAUAAAUUGAUGAGAGGUGGUUAAUGCACAUUGUAAAUGCUAUGACCAUAAUCAAUUUGUGUUUAAGUUCAAAAAGUAUUUUCAGUGUCUAAGAAAGUUCUACUUAAAAUAACAUGACUCUGGAAAGAUGUGUGCUCUUACCAUGAAUUGUACCACCACAAUUAAUUCAAAGAAUAUAUUUCAUUUUGGCAGAAGAUUAAUAAGGGAGGAGGAACUAACUAAAAUUUUCACAGAGAGAAUCGAUUUGAGUCCUAAGGAAAGCUUUUUUUUUAACUUCAGGAUCUAUGAGAUUAUUUUUUAAAAAGGAACUCACUGCAAACUCUGUGUAUUCUUUCCCAGUUAUUUUUGAGAAAAGGACAGACUUAACUGUGGGUCAGAUGUGUUAAGAGAAAGCAGGUAAGGGGACUAGGAAGUAUUUUUUAAUUUCUAAAUAAGAAUAAUCUUUUCUAGUUCUUUAAAAAAAUAUUUAUUUAUAUUUAGAAAAAGAGGAAGGGAGGGAGAAAGAGAGGGAGAGAAACAUCGAUCAGUUGCUUCUUACAUGCCCCUCCAACAGGGAACCUGGUUCACAACCCGGGCACAUGCUCUGCCCGGGAAUCAAACCAGCAACCUUGUGAUCUGCGGAGCAAUGCCCAACCCACUGAGCUGCACCAGUCAGGACUCCAGUUCUCAUAUGUUGUGGUUUAUGCAAAACCCUCAAAACUGACUGAAGGAGGUGUAUAUCUUCUUAGUAUCUCCAGGUCCAAAGCCUGAAAGGGCUAAGGUCAAGGUGAGAUGGGUAAAAACAGAAUACCUUGCCACUGGGCUAAGACCCUGGGAGGAAACCACCCAAAGGCAGAUGUUCAACCCAGAGUCUGUGUCUAGGCAGGUAUCUGUUACCUGAUCGGAUAAGCAUGGCUAAUGGGAUUUUUAUGAUAGGCAGGCCAUGUCUGUCUCUCACCAGGGAUAAUAUUA